UGGUAGUUAUAUCAUGGAUAAUAAAAUAAAUGGAUAGGAAACUAGCUGACGUGAUCUAAUGUUUUCAAUGGGCUGAUGGCGUGAUUGGAUGUUGAAACCUAGUUGCAAACCAAAUUCUCAAAAACGGCAUGUUUAGCAAUAAUACAGCUAAACAUUUUAGUCAAAGAGCAAAUGAAUAUAACUACACCAUUCUACGAUGAAAUCUCUAAGUAUUCCCAGUCAAUCUUAGCAAAUAUUUCAAGUACUAAACAGUGAAAACGGCAUCCCAAAUUUCGUUAAAAUUGGGGACGCCAAUUUCGUAGCUACAAAUGUAAAAAAAUACAAAACAACGACGAAAAACAUUUACCUUGAAUACUUUGUCAUGGCUUAGGCAUGUUUUUAAAACAGUUAGACCAGUAUAUGCUUCAAUAUUACUCUUUUAAAGCGGAAA